rnacentral:lncRNA from 1 species
CGGUUAAGAAGUUAACAAAAGAAGAAGCUGGAAAACAGAGCAACAUAGAGCCACACGUGUGUGAGAGAGAAGCUGCCAAACCGACCCAACUACAGACCCGAAAACCCGACCCGGAACCCGCGACCUUGACCCGGCCAUAACUCCCAUUUUCGGCCACUGUUUCGGCCGAGCUUGGUACCAAUAUGAAGCUUAGAAGCCGACCGUGGUUCCCCUGCCAUCCUCGCCGCCGAAAACGAACCGGAAUGCCGGCGAUCGAAGCUUGAAACCCGCGACUGUUUCACUUUACUCCGCCGGGAUUUUUGCUGGUUUUGGGUGACACCACCGGUUGGAUUUUGUUCCUCAUGACUCCCUCUUCCAUUUCCGACCAUCCAUAGGCAUCGAGAGUCACUGUUUUGCCGCCGGUUAAUUGUUGGAAUUCACGGCUGCUGAGCUAGAUUCCGGUGUCGUUGCCGCGCGUUGGAACUCACCGCCGGUACCAUUGAACUCAGCGUGAUUGGAACUUUCAGAUUUGAGCUUCCUAGCCCGCGUUGACCAAAUUCCGGUGACCGCUGACCGGUGAGGGCAUUUUGGUAAUUUCACACUAUGAGGGCAAUUUUGUAAUUUCUGAGCCUGUGGAUAUUUUAGUAAUUCCUAGAAUUGAGGAUUGGGUGUAAUUACGAUUCCAAGGGUAAUUCAGUGAUUUACGAUUUCGGAGCAUGUUAAUGAUCUACGGACUCAAGGGCAUUUUAGUAAUUUUAUGGACACGGGAGUUGUCAAUUAUGGAUAGAUGUUCGUUUCGAGUUUAUUGCAUAAAAUUUAGUCAUAAUUCCGAUUUACGGAAAAUAAUUAUGUCGUUUUCUUGAUUUAGGAGGAUCCGCGAGCGAGAACCGGUCCGCGGACGUGGACAAUAACCGACCUUGAACACCGUCACUGUGAGUGAAAUAUACAAAACAUAUUUUCAUGAUAGUAAAGCAUAUUGUUUUUGUUAGGACAUCUUGGUUAUCUCGUCUUGUUGGGAUUGUACAAUUUUUGUUAUAUUAUUCUUUUCAGAUUAAGAAUAAAUUGAGAUAUUAAUAUUAGUUAUAAUAUUAUCUUUUGAGAUUCUGGAGAUAUAAAACUUAGCAUUUAGUUGAGGAUGUUGAUCACUGAAGUUUGUUUUAUAUUGAAUUGUAUUGGGAGUGUUAUAUUCAUAUUUGUAGAUUGGGAGUGUUAUAUAUAUAAAGGAGACUCUGUCGAAUUUUCGGCCGAAUCUUUAUUAAUAGAAUUUUUAUCAAGUCCGUUUUGAUGAGACUAGAUAGACUCGCCUGGGGGGGAUUCGGGGCGGGUCGUUUUAACUUAGCAUUUUCUUCAAGAUAAAUAUGAUGCGUGCAAUCUACUAGAUUAAUAAUUUUUAAUAACAGUAAUGGUCUACCCUAUUGUCUUUUUGUGCUCUUGUAGAAUACCCAAUUGCUCCGAAUUGAGGGAAGAAGAAAUAAUACUAGGUAAGGUGUCAGAUUCUCCUAAGAAUGCAUAUUUCAGAGUGUCAGAUAGUGCUUUAAGUUCCAUUUUGGUGGUGACGCUGCAGAUGACUAAUCUUAUUCUCAAAUGAGGCAGUGGUUUCUAGCUUUGUCUUCUAUUUGACUGUGUCCAUAAUUGGAGUUGCAUCUAGUAAGACAUUGACUUUUAUAAUUACAAUGUCAUCAUUAGAAGAUAAACUAGAGUGAGUUAAACAUAUUUCUAAUGGAUCAUCACUGUGGUUAGAAAUAAAUGAAUCUUCUACCAAUUCUUCUAUCAUAUUUGCAUCAAUAAAUUCAUCUUUUUCACGUGGCUACUUGGUGGCAUUAAAAAUAUUUAAUUCCUUAGUGAUAUUACCAUGGAAUUAAUAUUUAGUUCUUCUAGCAUAUCUGCAUAACAAAUUCCUCUUCUUUAUGCAGUUGUUUGGUAAUAUUAAAAAUAUUUAAUUCUAUGGUCAUAUUACCAUGGUUCUGGUCAUUUGUUAGCAGCGCUAGUGGCUGUAGUGUGGACGUGGGUGUGUGUGAGUGAAUGCUUUAACGAUAGAUAUAAGAAGUCAAGAAAGCAAAGGGGAUUACCAAAUGCUAUAGCGUGGGCAUGGGCAUCUCUAAGCGAAUGCAUCGAUUAAAAAAAAGAAGUCUAGAAAGAGAAGGAGAAUUAGGGAUUGCAUUCGGGCGCGUACACACACACACACACACACUGGUUGGUGAGAACAUUGGAUGAAAACAAAGUUGCUAGAAUGCUAUUUCGGAAGGGUCGCUUCAAGGGGAGGCGAAACCAGAUAUGGUUUUAGAUUCAAAAGCGAAGGAAGCAACUAUGGCCUACAGUUAAGGGAAGCCACAAGGGAAUUUCUCAUACACUGUAGUGUGGCUACUAGUUCCUGCAUGUAUUGGUGUCUGGGGGAAUCGCUCUUACUGGGUUGGUUCGUCUGGGAAUAAGCUAACCCCUACCAAGCAAACUCCGGCUUCAGCGCCUUAACGAAAAUAAUGUAGUCAGAUAGUCCUGAGGUAGCCACAGGUUACACUGGCAUUUGCUUCAACCUAAGCAAGACGAAUUUUUGUGAUAUAGUGAUCCAUACUCUCUGUCGGGGGGCUUGGGCCUGGCGACCUAGUCUCUGUCCACCAAACCAAUAUCAAAUAUCUUUGUUGGGGACCUAGGCUUGUCCCGAAGUGUACGUAGGGAUUCUCAACUCUUCGAUUGCGGUAGGGUAGAAAUGGUCUAUGAAAAGUCUAUCAAACCACCACAAAAAAAAAAAGGCAAUGACUCUUUCAGAUAAAAAAUGAAUCUUCUAAUUAUAUAUAUAUGCACUAUUAAGUUUUUUAAUAUGAUAUUUAUAUCUUCAUGCUAUAGUCUAGUGGUUUGUGGUCCAAAUGUAAAAGUUUUGAGUUUCAGAAGUCUUAGGAUUGAGUUGGAAUUAAAACAAAUUCUAUACUAAUAUUUUUUUUAAACUUUUGAUACUUCAGUGUCAGUUAUUUUUUAUGUUUAAUUUGUUGAUAUACUAGUAAUAUUAAUUUGUGAUACUUUUUUUUUAAAUGCUGAAAAUGGUAAUUUUAAAUUAUUUAAUUCCAUGGUCAUGUUACCAAAGGGUAGUUGCAUAUUUCCAUUUUUAUAAUUAACAAGAGUAUUAGCUGUAACUAAGAAAUGACGACAUAGAAGAAUUUGAGUGUGUUUCUUAUUAAGAUCUUGUAGAAGCUGAGCAUUAAUAACAAUAAAAUUAAUAGCAUAAUAAAAUUUUUCAAUCAGUACCAACACAACCUCAACGGUACCAGGAAUUAUUUUCAUUAACUUAUUAGUAAGUUGAAAAACAAUAAAGUUGAGUUUAAUUCACCUAAUCGAAGCUGCAUGUACGUAGAAUAUGGAAAGAGAUUAACCCUAGCUCCUAAAUCCAGUAAUGUUUUAUCAAACAACUGAUUCCUUAAACACAUGAUAUAGAAGGGCUAGACAUUUAAAUUUUGGUGGCAUUUUACAUUAAAGUAAAUCGCUAGUUUGUUUAGUUAAAAAUGCCUUCUUGGUAACAUGGAAUUUCUCUUUUAGUGCACAUAUUUAAAAACUUGCCAUAAGAGGGAAUUUGCUUAAUACUAUUGAGAAAAUGGAUGUGUAUACUUACCUACUUGAAGAUUUCAAUAAUCUCGCUUAUUGAAGUCUCUUUCUUUAACUUUUUUGACCUUUGAGGAAAAAGAGCAUUAUGAAUGUACACUGGUGGUCUAUUUUCUUUUGGAUCAUUUAGUGAUGACUCAUUUGGUGGAACUGGAUCUAAGCAAGUAGGUUGAGAUGUCUUUCUUUUUGGAAACUUUAGCUUGUUGUUGAACAAUUUUCCUCCUCUUAAAGUCAUGACAGAUUUUGUCUUUUUAUGCUAAUGGCUUGAACUCGAUCUAGCUGCAUACACUCCUUGAGUAUUAAGAAUGGAAUGACUUUGGAAUUUUCCCUUUUUCUAUAGUCAUUGCUAUAUUUUGAACUGAUCAAGUUGUUUGUUCAAUCACCUUCUCAAGGUUAGACAUGGAUUGCACUUGACAAUUCUGGGUGGUCCUCCUCUCAUUCCUUAAUUCUGAUAUAGUACCCCCUGUGAUUUUGACAAUUUUUUAAAAGCUUCCUCUCAUGGUUUAGGUUAUGAAAAAGUCUAAAGGUAAGCUGAGGAAAUUGAGAAACUUGAGUUGUUGUCUUAUUUUGUUGAAAGCCUUGUGACCAUGAAAAUUGGGGCGACCUCCAUCCUGAAUUAUAGGUUUUGGAGUAGGGAUUAUAGGUUGGUCAUCUUCUCAUCAUAUUAAUGGAGUUGACUUGAUCAUGAUAAGAAUCCUAUUUAGAUUGGUUUUAAGCAUAUGGCGCACUAGGAUUAACACUCAUCAAUAAGGCUGGUUGGCUGGAAAUUCCGUCCACGUACUUUUUAAGUUAUUUGAUAUCAGAUUUAGAUUCACUACCAUAGACCUCAUUCAAUCCUCUUAUUCUUCUACCAUUCGUUGAAGAUUGACACCUUUGUUAGGAAUUAUCUAAUUGUCUCUAGAAAAGGUCCCAAAUUUCUGUCGCACGUUUGGACAUAAGUUGACCUCCACUAGUUGCCAUUAACCUCUCUUGAAUAUGUGGCAAUAAAGUUUCUAAAAAAUAUUGGCAUUGAUGACAUUGCUCAAACAUAUGAUGUGGACACUUCAAGAGGAAGCCAUUAUAUCUCUUCCAUGCUUCAAAGAAUUGUUUAUUCUCUUAUUGUGUAAACUCUAUAAUCUCCUUGUGAAUAGCAUUAGUCUUAUGCACAAGAAAAUAUUUAUUAAAAACUUUUCAUCCAUUCUCUCCCAAGAUGUUAUGCUAUUAACUAGUAACAUGUUAAACCAUGAUAUGACUCUUCUUUCAAUGGGAAUGGAAACAAACGAAGUUUAACAUCAUCUACAAAGAAUCUUCAUAAUCAAAAGCUUGACAAACAACAUAAAAAUUAUUCAAAUGAUUAUAGGGAUCUUUAUUAUCUAAGUUAUAAAAAGAUGGGAGACAAUUAAUGAUAUUAGGUUUUAUUUCGUAACUCCUAGCAGCAACAUCUAGAUAUCAAAUGCACGAGAUGUUUAGAUUAGGUGACGGACUAAAGUAAUCUUUAAAAGGUUUUUGUUGCGGUUCUUCAGCCAUUUUAUCUUCAACUAUAUUUUUCUCAAUUUGAUCAACUUUUUCUUUUAAAGCAACUUUCUUUCUUUGAUGAAAGGUUCUCUCAAUUUCAUUGGCUAUAGGUUGUAAAAUUUACCUAACUGCUAAUUCAGCCAUUUUAGCUAACUGCUAAUUAUUUUCCAAUUUCAGCGUGACAACUCGAAAUCAAUAUUUGUCGACUCAUGAAUAUAACAAUUGAUUCGAAUUAAAACUAUUUUUUCUACUUAAUAGCAUGUAUCUAAGCAUCCCAUGUAAACAAUAUUGGAUAACAAAGAGUUAAAGUUUUUCUAAGUAUUCUGUAUAAAUAAUUUAAUGAAAGACACAUAUUUAAAGAUGAUCAUAUAUAAACUUUAUAGAUCCAAACAUCGGUUUAGUCAAAUAUUAAUCUUAACAAUCAAUAAUGCAUGAUAAAAUUGAUGAAAUGAUUUAAUAAUGUUUAAUCAAACAUGUGAAAUAAGAACCAUAAACAUUAAAGCACACAUGUAGUUAAUUAAUUGAAUAAAAAGUAAUUUAUUUCAUUGAAUAAGUUACCAUCUUACCAUAGUAUAGAACAUUUAGUUGCACAUAAUUAAUUUAGGGAUAAAAGAAUGGAUCAAACCAGUUAUGGAGAUUAAUUCAAAUGGCUAGCUCUUUUGCUAGCCCGUGACUUCCGCUUUAAUUGCUUUUAGCAGCUUCAGAACUAAUAUCUUUAUUCGCUUCUUUUACUUAAUAGAAGUUUAAUUGCCUUAAAAAAGAAAUCUCAUUUAAUAUUAGAAAAGAGAGUUGUGACCUUAUGAAGAGAGAAACAUAAUUUUUCCUUUACAAUUGUUGUCCCCAAAUUCAAGUGAGAGUUGUUUUCUUCUAGUAUAAGAGGGAGUACAAUUUUCCCCUCCUUGUAUUUAAAUAUAAGUGUUGUAAUUCUCAUUCCAAUGGUGAAAUCUUUCUAUUUUGCCCUAGAGUUUUUUAGUCCAAUUUAUUCUACAUCCCAUUUAUCUUCAUUUAUUCUCAAUUUCACUUUCGUUACAGCAUUGCCGUAUAGGAUUGUUGGGAUCCUUAAUUUCCUAAAAAUUGGCAACCAAAUAUUGCAUUAUAAAGUUCUUUCUCAUCUAAUCUCAUCUUUGAGAUAAAACUCUAACAUAUUAGUCAAACGACAUUAUCAGUGAAAGAGCUUUUAUCCCUAGUUAUUUUCUGUAAUUUAAAUUCUUAUUGUAUUCUCUAAAAUGAAAUGUCGUGCAACUUUUUCAGUACUAAUAAUGAUUGUUGCCAUCACUAAAAUCUUAAGCUUAUGCGCAAGUGGAAGAGUUUAUCAUUUAUUUAGUAAAAGGAUUAAUCUGUAUUGGAUUUUUUUGCUUACUAUAUUUUGUCCCUAUUCCAAAGUAUAAAUAGUUAGUGUUUAUUUAGUGAGAUUGCCAAUUUUCGUCCUACUAUAAUCAAUAUACACUAUUUACUUCCUUGCUAUUUUACCCUAUCGAUAGUUUAAGUUUUCAAUAUUAUCCUUAUUUUAAAGGGAAAUUAUCAUUUGUAUACUCUUAGUUUACUCCAUUAUCAAAAAUACUACAAUACUUUGAGGGUGUAUCAAUUCUCUACCCUAAGUUGGCAAAAUGUAUCAUCUGACCACCAAACCGUUAGUUGCCGUUUAAGUAUGAUGACGUCAGAAGGGUAAUUUGGUCUUUUCAUAUGAUACAAGUGAUAAUUAAAGGGUAUACAAGUGAUAAAAAGAGAAUUUAAGGGUAUACAAUUAAUAAUUUUCAAGGGUAAAAUCGUCAAUUUACUAUAAUUCCGUUAACUUUCAAACGGCAACUAACGGUUUGGUGGUCAGCUGAUACAUUUUGUCAACUAAGGGUGGACGAUUGAUACACCCUCAAAGUGUUGUAGUAUUUUUGAUAACAGAGCAAAUAUAAGGUAUACGAAUGAUAAUUUUCCUAUUUUAAAAUACAAUUUUAUUUAUAUUUAUUAUAGAUUAAAUAAAUCACAUAAAUGAAAAUUAAAAUUAAAAAAUUAAGUAUUAAAAAAAAGAAAUAUACGUUUUGAUAUAAAAAAAUUAAUAAUAAAAUUUUUUCUUGUACUUUUUUAUUUUGUAAACAUUUUCUUAUAAUAAAUAUUUUACAAUAUUUUAAAAUUAAAUGUAAAAGUACAAGCAAAAUAUUUUAUUAUUUAUUUUAUAAUAAUUUUUAUUUAUCAUCAAGUUUUCUUAUAAUAACUUUUAUCAUUUUAUAAUUAUUUUCUUAUGUAUUUAUUAUAAGAAAAUGCUUAUAAAAUAAAAAAAGUUCAAGAAACAUAUUUUAUUAUUAAUUUUGUUCACAUUAAAACAUAUAUUUUUAAUUUUUAAUACUUAAUUUUUUUAUUUUAAUUUUCAUUCCUGUGAUUUAUUUAAUCUAUAAUAAAUAUAAAUGAAAGUGUAUUUAAAAAUAAGAAUAAUAUUAUAAACUUAUGCUGACAUGUGUUAUUUAAUCUAUAAUAAAUAUAAAUAAAAGUGUAUUUGAAAAUAAAGAUAAUGUUGUAAACUUAUCACUGUUAAGAGGUUAUUGACUAUUACAAAAAUAUAAAGAGAGUAAAUGGUAUGUAUUAAUUACAGUGGGGGAGAGAUUCACAAUCUCCUAUUUAUUAAUUCAGUUGGCCAUGAAAUCUCAUUAUGAUUAUUUUUUAUUUUCUUUUAUAUAUAUGCGGCUUGGGCCAUUUGUUUCGGAGAUGCAGAAUCGUCGGAUAUAGUCCUUAAGUUCAUUGUCACAUGAGAGAAUUAACCUCUUCCGAGGAUGACCGUAAAGCUUUCCAAAUAGUAGCUGUUCUUUGAAUCUUUUAUCCUUUUCAAGGCUUGUUUGAUAUAGCAUCUAAAAUUAAAAGUAUUCCCAUCCAAACUUUUUAUAAACAGAAUUCAGAUUUUGUAAAUAGAGUCCAGGAAACCCGACCUGCAAGCUGAUUUUACAAUGUUGAUUCGACUUCUACAUUUUAAUGGAAUAGGUUUUAGUGAGGAAUCAGCCACCAGGUGGUUUCAGUACGUAUUGAGACGAUCACCACCGAAGAAUUUCAGCAACAAGUAAUAUGUCAGCGGGGAUCUGCUAAAUUGAGCGAGCAGACUCAAACGAUUUGAUUUUCCUCCAAGCACACAAAUUUAAAGGUUCCAACGCUCAAACUUUGUUUUUGUUUGGCAUUUUAUUUAGUUUUCUGGAUUCCGUUAGUUUAUGUUAGUUUUUUUCAUCAUUUUCCUCGUGAUUACAAAGGCAAAUUUGCUUCUUCAUUUGUGUGCUUUUAACUAUUCGAUUGAAGAAAAAAUAAAAUUCACUAAAAGCAAUUUAUGAUAAGGCAUCGCCGCAAACAACCCCAACUGUUGCUUUUAGAAGCUGAUAUGCCCCUUUAUCAUAAGUACAAUAUUUCAGGGGUUUUCUUAUAGAGGUUUAAUUAAUUUGUUAGUAUCUUUGUGUUGUCUGCGAAAGACUUAAACAUGCAUG